GCUGGUACAUAUAUUUUAUGUAAUGUUUGAUUGUUACUCCUUUAUGUGUUGAGAGUGAGCAAAGUUUUUGAAAUGUGUUUAGUAGAUCGAUCUUCCUUGGUCAGUACAUCUUUACCUUUAUCUACAACCAAAUUCCUUGUUUCUAAGCUCAAGUUUUUAUUAGGAGCUUCCUAAAAUCUUUUCUUUAUCACUCAAAGCACUUCUUUUAGUUCCUCGUCCAUCAAGAAAUCUCUACAAACUUUUCGAGAAUGUUCUCACUUUUCUGUGAGCAUAAUCUAAUUUUUAGAUGCUCCAUAUUAUCUCAUCAUGAGCUCCAAAUACUUUAUUUGGGUUCCCCAUAUUCCAUAAUGUCUCUG
rnacentral:lncRNA from 1 species